UCUUAGUUGCAGGUCAUUCUAGCUGUGGGAUGUGGGACGCCACCUCAACGUGGCCUGACGAGCAGUGCCAUGUUUGUGCCCAGGAUCCGAACCCUGGGACGCUGCAGCAGAGUGUGCGAACUUAACCACUCGACCACGGAGCCAGCCCCCGGACAGAAUUUUCUUGAAACAACCAGGAUUGCAUUCUCAGAAAGAGGGUUCACCCGGAAUCCAGAGAGAGGCUCCAGCUGUGAACAAGAGCUCAUCCCCUCUCCUGUGUGGAGGC
rnacentral:lncRNA from 1 species